UCCUACGGGAGGCAGCAGUGAGGAAUAUUGGUCAAUGGGAGAGAUCCUGAACCAGCCAAGCCGCGUGAGGGAAGACGGCCCUAUGGGUUGUAAACCUCUUUUGUCGGAGAACAAAACCCGGGACGUGUCCCGGACUGCGUGUAUCCGAAGAAAAAGCAUCGGCUAACUCCGUGCCAGCAGCCGCGGUAAUACGGAGGAUACGAGCGUUAUCCGGAUUUAUUGGGUUUAAAGGGUGCGGAGGCGGCCCGUUAAGUCAGCGGGAAAAUUGCGGGGCUCAACCCUGGCGAGCCGUUGAAACUGGCAGA
rnacentral:rRNA from 1 species